rnacentral:rRNA from 1 species
ANUUUNAUCNUGCUCAGACGACGCUGCGGCGUGCUUAAUACAUGAAGUCGANNGGACAGAUGGGAGCUUGCUCCCUGAUGUAACGGCGGACGGGUGAGUAACACGUGGGUAACNUGCCUGUAAGACUGGAAUAACUCCGGGAAACCGGGGCUAAUACCGGAUGGUUGUUUGAACCGCAUGGUUCAAACAUAAAAGGUGGCUUCGGCUACCACUUACAGAUGGACCCGCGGCGCAUUAGCUAGUUGGUGAGGUAACGGCUCACCAAGGCAACGAUGCGUAGCCGACCUGAGAGGGUGAUCGGCCACACUGGGACUGAGACACGGCCCAGACUCCUACGGGAGGCAGCAGUAGGGAAUCUUCCGCAAUGGACGAAAGUCUGACGGAGCAACGCCGCGUGAGUGAUGAAGGUUUUCGGAUCGUAAAGCUCUGUUGUUAGGGAAGAACAAGUACCGUUCGAAUAGGGCGGUACCUUGACGGUACCUAACCAGAAAGCCACGGCUAACUACGUGCCAGCAGCCGCGGUAAUACGUAGGUGGCAAGCGUUGUCCGGAAUUAUUGGGCGUAAAGGGCUCGCAGGCGGUUUCUUAAGUCUGAUGUGAAAGCCCCCGGCUCAACCGGGGAGGGUCAUUGGAAACUGGGGAACUUGAGUGCAGAAGAGGAGAGUGGAAUUCCACGUGUAGCGGUGAAAUGCGUAGAGAUGUGGAGGAACACCAGUGGCGAAGGCGACUCUCUGGUCUGUAACUGACGCUGAGGAGCGAAAGCG